rnacentral:rRNA from 1 species
GUACACGCUGUGACUAGCAUAUCAAUAAGCGGAGGAAAAGAAACUAACAAGGAUUCCCCUAGUAACGGCGAGUGAAGCGGGAAGAGCUCAAAUUUGAAAUCUUAAAGGGUUUCCCUUUACGAAUUGUAGUUUAAAGAAGUGUUUUCUGUUGAGGUUUUGGUAAAAGUUCUUUGGAAUAGGACAUCAUAGAGGGUGAGAAUCCCGUAUUUGACCUUUACUUUCAACUUUGUGAUACACUUUCGAAGAGUCGGAUUGUUUGGGAAUGCAGUCCAAAAUGGGUGGUAAAUUUCAUCUAAAGCUAAAUAUUGGCGAGAGACCGAUAGCGAACAAGUACCGUGAGGGAAAGAUGAAAAGAACUUUGAAAAGAGAGUUAAACAGUACGUGAAAUUGUCAAAAGGGAAGCGUUUGACACCAGUGUUGUUUUUCUGAAAAUCAAUUAAAGAACUGUUUAUGCUAAGCUUGUUUAGACUUUAUCAGCUAACUGUUUAGUUUUGAGCUUUUCUUUAAUGCACUUUUCAGUUAACAAGUCAACAUCAAUUUCUUUUGCUGUAAAAAAGCUUGAGGAAGGUGGCUUGAGAUUCGUCUUAAGUGUUUAUAGCCUCUUGCCUAUGCAGUCGGAGAGAUUGAGGUCUGCAGCGUAGAUCCCUCGGGGCUAAAUGCAUUUGUGCUAAGUUAUAGCAUUUCAUAGACAACUUGUUGACUAUGAUUUGUCUUGUAGCUUACUCGCUUAUGUUAUUUUACCUACGCUUAGGAUGUUGAAUCUGUGCGAGACUAC